GAAUAUGAAACAUUUAAAAUGUAAUUAGUUUCGACCUAAUAAAAAAUGAUAAAAUUCAUUCUUAUUCU
rnacentral:tRNA from 1 species